rnacentral:ncRNA from 2 species
ACCUUAGGUAGAGGUGCUAUAUAUAAUUAGUACUUAUUAUGAGUUGGCAAACAUUGAUUAAUAAGGAAAGGUAAUAUGGCCGAAGAUUUAAAUUAUGCAAAAAUUUAUUUCUGGGUAUGCAUAAAAUAUAUGUAUGACUGUCACGAAAGUGGAGAGCUAACAAGGAU